rnacentral:rRNA from 1 species
AUUGAACGCUGGCGGAAUGCUUUACACAUGCAAGUCGAGCGGCAGCGCGGGGCAACCUGGCGGCGAGCGGCGAACGGGUGAGUAACACAUCGGAACGUGCCCAGACGUGGGGGAUAGCCCGGCGAAAGCCGGAUUAAUACCGCAUGUGAUCUGAGGAUGAAAGUGGGGGACCGCAAGGCCUCACGCGUUUGGAGCGGCCGAUGGCAGAUUAGGUAGUUGGUGGGGUAAAGGCUUACCAAGCCUGCGAUCUGUAGCUGGUCUGAGAGGAUGAUCAGCCACACUGGGACUGAGACACGGCCCAGACUCCUACGGGAGGCAGCAGUGGGGAAUUUUGGACAAUGGGCGCAAGCCUGAUCCAGCCAUUCCGCGUGAGUGAAGAAGGCCU